rnacentral:rRNA from 1 species
GACGAACGCUGGCGGCGUGCUUAACACAUGCAAGUCGAACGGAAAGGCCCUGCUUUUGUGGGGUGCUCGAGUGGCGAACGGGUGAGUAACACGUGAGUAACCUGCCCCUGACUUUGGGAUAACUUCAGGAAACUGGGGCUAAUACCGGAUAGGAGCUCCUGCUGCACGGUGGGGGUUGGAAAGUUUCGGCGGUUGGGGAUGGACUCGCGGCUUAUCAGCUUGUUGGUGGGGUAGUGGCUUACCAAGGCUUUGACGGGUAGCCGGCAUGAGAGGGUGACCGGCCACAUUGGGACUGAGAUACGGCCCAGACUCCUACGGGAGGCAGCAGUGGGGAAUAUUGCACAAUGGGCGGAAGCCUGAUGCAGCAACGCCGCGUGCGGGAUGACGGCCUUCGGGUUGUAAACCGCUUUCGCCUGUGACGAAGCGUGAGUGACGGUAAUGGGUAAAGAAGCACCGGCUAACUACGUG